rnacentral:lncRNA from 1 species
ACUUCUAUCCUGUUAGGUCAUCAAUGGCAAAGCUAUACAAAGGGUUGGCUUCCCAGUGUGCAAAUGCUGGCCAAGAUGCUUCCCCCACUGCAGGCCCUGAGGCUGUCCGAGACGGUGGGAUCCACUCAGAAGAGAUUCUGCAACCCUACCCAUCUGCUCCCAGUUCUGGCCCCACUGUCACGUAAGCACCUAUUGCUAUGGAAAGGCUGAUGGCAAUGCCCUUAGUCCCAGGCAGUUUGUGUGGGUUAGUAGGCUGAUCUGGAAAGGAGUAUGAUCUACAGAACUCUUCCUCUUUACCCCAUCAGGCCUAUCUGUGACAGCUAAGCAGUUGACCAGUUGCUUUGAUCCAAGAGAAAGACACUAAUUUUGAGGGACUGGCCUACAGUGGGAAUAGAGGCAGAACGUGGAAGUUUACUUUGUGGAUUACUCCAACUCUUGAGACAGUAAUAAAGCCUUUUAUCUUCCUUGAAGUGCAACAAACAGAGCUCCAAAAUAAAAUCUCUAGCAUUUUAUCCCAGACUGAACAACAUGGCUAUCAUAACACUCCGUGCAAAGAAAAGAAAAUUCAAUAACAAUCUUCAAAGGUAGAAGAGUCAGAUCAAGAUUUCAUUUCACUAUUUCUUUUCACAUCUAUAAAUGUAAG